AUUUUUUAGUUUUGAUUUCUAAUUUUUUUUUAUUUUUAUAUUUUUAUUAUUGAGAUUUAAUAUUGAAAAUAUGAAAUUUUAUAAAAUUCGAUUUGAUCUGUUUAAAAUCGAACCGAACCGAUAUUUAUCAUUUUGGUUCGGUUCAGUUUUUUCUUAUUAAUCGAUUUGGUUUGAUUUUUAAAAUUUUUAAUUUUCGAUUUUUGAUUUUAUCGGUUCAGAACUGAACCGACCGUUUGCACACCCCUAGGAGCAAGUGUUGAUAUUUGGGUGUUUAACCAUAAGUUUUAGAUUCUAAACGAAUUGUGGGAAAUUUCAGGUUCAGUGGCUAAAAUAUGGAAGUUUGGUUGCCGAAACAUGUAAACAGUCACGUAAAUAGUGUACAGAAAGUUAGGUCGCCAAACAUUCAAAAUUCGGCUCCCAAACUUGCUUUGCCAAUGCAAAUGUGUUUCUAAUUAAAAUUGUUUAAAUAUAAAACUAAAUGUCUUAUCAAAUCAAACCUUUUCUUACAAACAAGAAUUAGGACAUGAGGGGCCAAAAAUCAAGGAAUCUAAGAGUCAUCUAGUAAUAGAUGAAAGUGUAAGAGUUGACACCAUAAGGUGAGUAGAAUGUACUAAACUCUAUUAAAAUAAAUGCUCCUCUAUGCAUACACGUGCAUUCAUGCAUCCUAACCUAUUUUAUCAAAUAUAAAUGCGUCCUUUGGUUAAUUAUGUAAAUAUUUUACGUUCACAAUUACGCUGUAUAAUUGCUUAUGUUGUUCUGGUAGUUCAUGGAUUACAAAUUGAUGCCAAAAGAAAAAAAGAAAUACAUGCAUGCUAAAUGGACUCACAAACUCCUUGAGGGAAAUGAUCCGGUGUAUAUUCCAAGAUGAGGUGGUGUGAUCCACAAGGCUCCUUGAGGGAAAUAAUCUAGUGUUUAUCCGAAGACAGAAGGCCUAGAAAAGAUGGGGAACCUGAGACGAGUAUAGAAGAUACAAUAAAUGGUUUUGCUAGCUGAGUUGUAGAGGUUAUUGCCUCAAUUUUACUGGACAUUUUGUGGAACUUCUUUUGUAAUGACAUGUAAUUUUGCUAUUGUAGUACUAUAUUUUGCCACCCAGUAUUUUGUAAUAUUAAAAUGUAAAUAUUGUUUUAUGUUAAUGAAAGUAUUUUCAUGAAUAA